AUUAAAAUAAAAUUAGUGGAGACAUAAAAUAUGGGCAUCUCAUUACCUUUUAUUAAUAGAAGUUAUCUAAAAUUUUUAAAAAGUAAAAAUAAAUAAAGCCAGAAUGAUGGGGGAGGGGGAACAAGUCCCAGUGUGCACUCUUUAAUGACCUGUGGAGGGUUGGUAAGGUUAGUUAAGGUGUCUUCCAAGACCAUGGGCUGCAGAAGAAACUGCCCUGUCUGUAGUCCUGCUAAAGAGGCAACCUUAGGCAGUGAUGUUGCCAUUAUCACCUCUGCUUUCUCCUCCUCCUCCCUCUAGCAGCCAUAACUGUUUGCACCUUGGUAGUGUCAGUUGACCAAUGGAUAUGAAUCCAGAGAGGGGCCAGCCCCUGACCGUACAGGACAAUCUGAUCCCUGUCUGAACUGAGGCAGUAAGUAGCAGGAGUUGUAGUUGUGAGAUGCUUCAUAAGAGGGAAAGAGGUGGAAUAAACAAUAAGGCAGUAGAGCAACAAAGAAAGUGAGUCACCAGAAGACCAGAAACUAUGAGGAAGAGGAAAAGACACCAAUGGAGGGAAAGAACCAGACAGCAGGUGGUAAGAGGAGAAGACAGCAGGUGUGUGGAUAUACCUGGCACAUACGGGCAGAGCACACAGAGGGAGGUAAAUGACAUCUCGGUGUUCCACAAAACAAAAAAGCUUUAAAGCUCCUGUGAUUGAAUUAAAUGGAAAACUAACCAAGUGUACACAACAGGAAUAAAAGGUAAAUAUCAGGGAGGGAUUUUUUUUCUAGUUGUUUUAAUUAUGCAUUUACCCAUUCAGGUUCAAUGUCUUUUCUUUUCAAACCCAGGUCAAUAUUGGAUGUCAAGUAAAGAAACUAACAGUUAAGUUCUGGUUUCAUCCACACACACUCAGCAUGUGAUUUUCAGCCCCUUGUGAUAAACUUCUACAAAGUUGAGUCAAAGAAUCUUUCAAUCAUUAGAUGUGAGUUAGGAGCAACUGAGCUGUUAGUAGACUCUAAACAAAAGUAGAUGAAGAAUGCAUUCAGAGAAUGAAUGGCACCCUGGACAGGGAGAGGAGAGAUCCAAGAAGUGGUCCAAGCUGAUACACAAUGUGAUCUUAGGGGAGUUAACUCGACUUUCUGUGGCUCUACUCAUGAAUCAGAAAGGGAAAAUUUCACUGCCUGCUCUUCCACAAUUCAAUAGGAUUAUACAAAACUGUCAGGGUAAAGUAGCUAAUGUACUAGAUGUAAAGCAAGUUAAAAUCUUACUGAAAAAAAAAAA